AGACGCCUUACGCCCUCCCGCCUCUUCGGAGGCUCCUUACACCCAGCCCGUCCCGCCCUCCUCAGCCCCCCCCCCCGCAGGGUGAUGCCGGAGAGCCCCCGAGCUCUGCACUAGCAUCAUGGAGAGCAGAGCCGAGGGCGGCCUGGAAGGCUGCAGGGGUUCCAGCGCUGCGGGGUGGAAGUGCCUCGGUUACAAGCGGCGGGCACCCCCGGUCAAGCGCGCUCCUCAGGGGGAGCCGGAGAGCGGCCUCUAUUGAGUCUGGUGUGCGGGCAGGGCCUGGGUCUCCUCAGCGCCAUCUACCGGACAGAGCCCUCAGUCUGAUGGACAGCGCGAUCAGCCAAUUAGGGCGCCCUCCCGCGUUCGUAGCCAGUGGCAGCGAACGGUUGUGAGGCCGCCCCCCCCAGAACGCGCCCCUCGGUUGGGUGGUUGAGCGGGCUGGGCUCGGCCCCCAGCUGCGUGCGGCGGGGCAGCGAAAGGCUGGCUGGGAAGUAAGCGUGAAAACUUCCACGGGCACGUUUGAAGUCUCCAGCCUCUCGGAUACGCACACCCGCGGCAGGCCGCGCAGCGCUUCUUCUCCGGUGCAGGCUCUUCCCAGGUGCCCCGUCAACCCCCGCCCCGUUUGUUUGCCCCCAGCCCUGUCUGUGAGGAACUGCUGCAGCGAUGAACGCCGACGGGUAACUGCCUAGAAAACUUGGGAAGCUAGAGUCAGUCUGAGCAGAACUGGGCCUCACGGCUUCCUUACACCUGAACACAGUAUUGCAGAGCUAGCUUCCUCACACUGCGUUAUAAAUCAAAUUCCUAGUGCAUUGGGAUAAGCCUCAGACACGCUGAACCCAUUCUUCUGGUGCCUCUACGAAGGUAUGACCAGAGAAUUCAGAGACUGAAAAGACCCAGCAAGUCAUCUAGUCCAGUCCUCGCCAGUGCAGGUUUCACGAACACUCCUGAAGGCUUUCCAGUAUGCUUUGCCACUAGAAAAUUCAUGACAAUAUCAUCACAGUUUUGAGUUUCAUCUAUCAAAGCAUGAACAGCAUCAGGCUGCUUUUGAAAGAGUUCUAGGUAUCCACUGUGAAAGAAUGCUGCUCCUAUGAGAACCAUGGAGUACUGGUCCCCAUUUCCAAAUCCAGGUGUCUGCAAUUCAAAGCUGCCAUAACUGUAUAUACCUGAAGAAGUGGAAACAUGCUUUCUAGGAACAAAUCCCACUAUCUGAUCUGGAAAUUGCUGGAAGAUCUGGAGUCUGUUCCUCAUGCGAUUCACAGUCUGCACUUUGAAGACAACAGGUACAGGAUGGGGUCCCAGGGAAUUCCACAUUUCCUCUGGUAUCUUCUCCCCAACAUUGUUCCACACAACAACCACUUUGUG